AUGCUUCCAUGGGUGGUCAUUGGUGACUUCAACGAGAUCUUAUACUCGCAUGAAAAAGAGGGUGGUGCUCAACACCCAAUCCGAAUGAUGUAGAAAUUUCGUGAUGCUCUAGUGGAUUGCGAGUUAGAUGAUAUGGGCUGCACAGGAGAUCUCUUCACUUGGAGGAGACGUCGCCUGAGGGAACGCUUGGACAUGGUUGUUUGUAAUGCAGGUUUCCAAGGUCUAUUUACCAAUGAUGUUGUUACAAAUGCACCACACUUGAAGUCGGAUCACAGUCCUAUAGCUCUUGAUACAAAGGCCGAAUGGACAAAUUUACAACACCAAGGUAAUGGUCAACGAUAG
rnacentral:rRNA from 1 species